rnacentral:rRNA from 1 species
UACGGAAGGAGCUAGCGUUAUUCGGAAUUACUGGGCGUAAAGCGCACGUAGGCGGCUUUGUAAGUUAGAGGUGAAAGCCUGGAGCUCAACUCCAGAAUUGCCUUUAAGACUGCAUCGCUUGAAUCCAGGAGAGGUGAGUGGAAUUCCGAGUGUAGAGGUGAAAUUCGUAGAUAUUCGGAAGAACACCAGUGGCGAAGGCGGCUCACUGGACUGGUAUUGACGCUGAGGUGCGAAAGCGUGGGGAGCAAACAGG